UACGUAGGGGCCUAGCGUUGUCCGGAUUUAUUGGGCGUAAAGAGCUCGUAGGCGGUUUGGUGAGUCGGGUGUGAAAUCUCCACGCUCAACGUGGAGGGGCCACCCGAUACUGCCAUGACUAGAGUCCGGUAGGGGAGUGUGGAAUUCCCGGUGUAGCGGUGAAAUGCGUAGAUAUCGAGAGGAACACCUGCGGCGAAGGCGGGUUGCUGGGCUGACACUGACGCUGAACUGCGAAAGCUAGGGGAGCGAACGGG
rnacentral:rRNA from 1 species